GCAGCAGGCGCGAAAACUUUACAAUGCUGGAAACAGCGAUAAGGGGACCUCGAGUGCCAGGUUACAAAUCUGGCUGUCGUGAUGCCUAAAAAGCAUUGCAUAGCAAGGGCCGGGCAAGACCGGUGCCAGCCGCCGCGGUAACACCGGCGGCUCGAGUGGUAACCGUUAUUAUUGGGUCUAAAGGGUCUGUAGCCGGCCGGAUAAGUCUCUUGGGAAAUCCAGCAGCUCAACUGUUGGGCUUUCAGGAGAUACUGUCUGGCUCGAGGCCGGGAGAGGUGAGAGGUACUUCAGGGGUAGGGGUGAAAUCUUGUAAUCCUUGAAGGACCACCAGUGGCGAAGGCGUCUCACCAGAACGGACCUGACGGCAAGGGACGAAAGCUAGGGGCACGAACCGGAUUAGAUACCCGGGUAGUCCUAGCCGUAAACGAUACUCGCUAGGUGUCGGCCACGGUGCGACCGUUGUCGGUGCCGUAGGGAAGCCGUGAAGCGAGCCACCUGGGAAGUACGGCCGCAAGGCUGAAACUUAAAGGAAUUGGCGGGGGAGCAC
rnacentral:rRNA from 1 species